GUGAGAACGUAGCGAAAUGCGAUAAGUAAUGCGAAUCGCAGAAUCCGUGAGUCAUCGAAUCUUUGAACGCACAUUGCGCCCUCUGGUAUUCCGGAGGGCAUGCCUGUUCGAGCGUCAUUAUCACCCCUCAAGCCCGGCUUGUUGUUGGAUGCAGCGCUUAUCCCGCUCCUCCCAAAGAUAAUGACGGCGUCUGCGACGACUCCUGUACACUGAGCUUUCGGGCACGUACACGGCUAGAAGUCCAGACCCGGUCGCCGUCCCCCCCGCGGGGACACCCAUUACCACAAGGUUGACCUCGGAUCAGGUAGGAAUACCCGCUGAACUUAAGCAUAUCAAUAAGCGGAGGA
rnacentral:misc_RNA from 1 species